rnacentral:rRNA from 1 species
AGAGUUUGAUCCUGGCUCAGAAUCAACGCUGGCGGCGUGCCUAACACAUGCAAGUCGAACGAGAAAGGCGACUUCGGUUGCUGAGUAGAGUGGCGAACGGGUGAGUAACGCGUGGGAAUCUGCCCUUUGGUGGGGGAUAACCCGGGGAAACCUGGGCUAAUACCGCAUAAGCCUUAAGAGGGAAAGCCUUCGGGUGCCGAAGGAGGGGCCCGCGUCCGAUUAGUUAGUUGGUGAGGUAAGAGCUCACCAAGGCGACGAUCGGUAGCCGGUCUGAGAGGACGGACGGCCACACUGGGACUGAGACACGGCCCAGACUCCUACGGGAGGCUGCAGUGGGGAAUUUUGCGCAAUGGGGGAAACCCUGACGCAGCAACGCCGCGUGGAGGACGAAGGCUUUCGAGUCGUAAACUCCUGUCCUUGGGGACGAAGCAAGUGACGUACCCGAGGAGAAGCCCCGCUAACU